rnacentral:lncRNA from 1 species
CAUGAAAAAUUUAGCUAUGUAAACUUACCCCUAUUACCUUAGUCCCUUAUGGGGCUUAUGGCUUUUCCUUUGUCUUAGGUGGUUGAGAGACAGAACAGUUUGACUUGAGCACUAACUUUCUCAUUCUUAGCAAGUUUCAUAUCAGAGGUUUUGUGAUAUUUUCAAAAGAAAGCUUAAAUGUUCCUCUUAUGGUUCUCUCAUGUCACUCAAAUGGUGUAUGAUUCCUCACCAAGGCAUAUGGUAAGAGUUGCCUUCUCUAUUUCAUCCUAUUUCUAAAAGGCUUAUGUGGAGUUCAAGGUAGGGAUGAAAGGAGAUAGCAUACUUACUUUGCAUGUAUUGCGAAGUCAAAGCUCGGAUCCUUGAAGAGAAGUGUCAUACUCCCAGAUCAAGAUGUGCAAGUGUGGACUAGGUUGCUCCUUUAUUUGAUAGACUCUCUAUGUAUUGAGACAUGGCUAGCAUUUUUUUCUUCUUUCUUUUUUUUUUAUAUAUAUGGGCUUUCAUGUGCUCAAUUUUCUUUUUCUGUGGACUUGCACAUGUCCAUCUUUUUAUUUCAUUUUGCCUAGCCUUUUGAUGUCUCAUUUACCAAAUAAUGCUUAGAGAGAUGUUCUAACAUUUAGAGUAUGGAGCAACCUAUUUAGUGGAUGCGAAAUACAUGUGGUUGCGUACUUCCAGUGUAGAAGCAGCAUAUAUAUAUGUGGUGUGUACGUGAUCUUGAUCUUAGGAGCAUGAAAAGUCUCUUAACAAGGGUCAACAAGACUUGACGACACUCAACACAAAGCAAAUAGCUUAUGUGGAAAGGUUGCAAUUAUGUAAAGUAGAUAUGGCUGUGGUAGGAAUUCAUCACCAUUGAGGAACAAUUAAGGUUUUGAUCAUUUUAAGAAUAAAUCUCUGAUAAUCAUGCAUGCUUAGAAAAAUAUUAUAGUAGCUCUUGUCUUACUAUCUCAUGUCCCACAAUAACUUAGACUUAGUUCUAGCACUUGCAACCCACAAAGUUUUUAGGUUCAUGGCAGUUUAAGUGAGCUAAGUGAUCCAUACUUAGAGAAAUACUAAGUUGUAUACUAGGCACUAGAGAAACAUUAACAAGCAACUAGUCAUAAUUUCCAUGAGGGAUAUAAACAUACAUGAAGCAUAUAUGCUAAAGGGAGAUGCUAAUAAAUAUUUAUUUUUUUUUAAGUAAGAAUUAUAAAAUGCAUGAAAAUAAAUAGGAUAGAAUACUUACCUUAGUGGGGGAGAGGAUCUCCCCCAAGCUAGAUCUUCGCUCACUGUGGUGGCGGGAAAUUUUGGUACCAUCCAGCCCAGCGUUGUGCGUCUUCCUCUCGCACACGUCGGAUAUGUUGGCCGUUUUGUAACGCCAGUUGCAAUGUUGCUUCUUGCCCAAUCUGCAAUUCGCCCAUGUCAUUAAUGAGACUGUCCAUACCUGUGGGCU